rnacentral:misc_RNA from 1 species
AAAUAUUAAGAUUUAAAUUUAACUCUAAGUUAUCUAACCAUUACUAUUACACUCUCUUCCCCUCUCUCUUAUAUGUAUAACUUGAAUCAAGUGAAAAGAUUUAACUAUAAAGUGGCAAAUUAUAAAUGUAUUAGUGCAUUAUAUAAUAUACAUUCUAAUUUUCAACUAUAUAGUUCUUAAUAAACAAUUUAAGCUGUACAUGAAUAAAUUAUAUAAGGUGUUAAGUGUGUAUAGACUAUAAAUGCUAAAAGUGAUAUUUUGAAAAUUAAACAUGUAAUAUGCACUCACACACAUGCACAUAUUUACUUCUUUUCUAUUGUUGUAAUAUAAUUAUAAAAUCAAAUAAAAGGAUUUGAUCAAAGAGUGACGUUAUAAGUGUAUUAGCGUAUUAUAUAAUAUACUUUUUAAAUUUCAAUUAUAUAGUCCUUUUUUUGAUAAAAU